CCUACGGGUGGCAGCAGUGGGGAAUAUUGCACAAUGGGGGAAACUCUGAUGCAGCGACGCCGCGUGAGUGAAGAAGGAUUUAGGAAUGUAAAGCUCUAUCAGCAGGGAAGAAGAAAGACGGUACCUGACUAAGAAGCACCGGCUAACUACGUGCCAGCAGCCGCGGUAAUACGUAGGGGGCAAGCGUGAUCCGGAUUUACUGGGUGUAAAGGGAGCGUAGACGGCUGUGCAAGGCUGAAGUGAAAGCCCAGGGCUCAACCCUGAGACUGCUUUGGAAACUGUGGAGCUAGAGUGCUGGGGAGGUAAGUGGAAUUCCUAGUGUAGCGGUGAAAUGCGUAGAUAUUAGGAAGAACACCAGUUGCGAAGGCGGCUUACUGGACAGUAACUGACGUUGAGGCUCGAAAGCGUGGGGAGCAAACAGGAUUAGAUACCCUUGUAGUC
rnacentral:rRNA from 1 species